rnacentral:snoRNA from 1 species
AAGACUAUACUUUCAGGGAUCAUUUAUAUAGUUCAUUACUAGAGAAAUUCUUCUGAUUGUGUAGAAUUCUGGAAACCAUGAGAACAAGCAUGGUGCUUUCUCCUGAGGAUGAAUCUGCACUUGGUGUUGCUUUGCUGUGACUCCCUUGUAUCAUUGAUGAUCAUAAAACAAAACAAAAAAAUGAAUCUGUAAAUUGCCUUUGAGGC